rnacentral:rRNA from 1 species
AUUGAACGCUGGCGGCAGGCCUAACACAUGCAAGUCGAACGAGUGGCGGACGGGUGAGUAAUGUCUGGGAAACUGCCUGAUGGAGGGGGAUAACUACUGGAACCGGUAGCUAAUACCGCAUACCAUCAGAUGUGCCCAGAUGGGUUUAGCUAGUUGGUGGGGUAACGGCUCACCAAGGCGACGAUCCCUAGCCGGUCUGCGAGGAUGACCAGCCACACUGGAAAGGAGACACGGUCCAGACUCCGACGGGAGGCAGCAGUGGGGAAUAUGGCACAAUGGGCGCAAGCCUGAUGCAGACAUGCCGCGUGUAUGAAGAAGGCCUUCGGGUUGUAAAGUACUUUCAGCGGGGAGGCGUUACCCGAAGAAGAAGCACCGGCUAACUCCGUGCCAGCAGCCGCGGUAAUUC